rnacentral:rRNA from 1 species
AUUGAACGCUGGCGGCAUGCUUUACACAUGCAAGUCGAACGGUAACAGGCCGCAAGGUGCUGACGAGUGGCGAACGGGUGAGUAAUGCAUCGGAACGUGCCCAGUCGUGGGGGAUAACGCAGCGAAAGCUGCGCUAAUACCGCAUACGAUCUAUGGAUGAAAGCGGGGGACCGAAAGGCCUCGCGCGAUUGGAGCGGCCGAUGUCAGAUUAGGUAGUUGGUGGGGUAAAGGCUCACCAAGCCAACGAUCUGUAGCUGGUCUGAGAGGACGACCAGCCACACUGGGACUGAGACACGGCCCAGACUCCUACGGGAGGCAGUAGUGGGGAAUUUUGGACAAUGGGCGCAAGCCUGAUCCAGCAAUGCCGCGUGCAGGAAGAAGGCCUUCGGGUUGUAAACUGCUUUUGUACGGAACGAAACGGUCCGGGUUAAUACCUUGGGCUAAUGACGGUACCGUAAGAAUAAGCACCGGCUAACUACGUGCCAGCCGCCGCAGUAACAC